GCCACUCAAUGAUCUCCUGCUGGAAACAGAGAGAAGAGGACGUGGAGAAGAAUAGGACGGAUCUGAUCCCGCGGCCGCGCAAUGAGCUUUCAGGAUGAGAGCGGCGGGGAGGAGGGCGGUGGGGGGCUGAUCGGCGUCGGACUUGCGAAAGCCUUUCCAACACACGGGGAUGUCCCCAAUGGGUGGGGACACGGUGGCCCGCCUCGGCUCCUCCGCCUACAUGCUCUGCGACAGCUCCAUCUCCACCUUGCUCUGCACCUUCGUUGUCGCGCUUGGCCCCAUCCAGUUCAGCUUCACGUACAGUUACUCCUUGCCCACUCAUCGCCUUUGCCAUUGGGCAAAUCGCCGAGUUCAUCGGUCCUAAAGGGUCUCUCAUGAUCGCCGCAGUUCCCAAACAUCAUUGGGUGGCUUGCAAUAUCAUUUGCAAAUGACUCCGUAUUUUUGUUCAUGGGCCGAUUGUUGGAAGGGUUUGGGAUUGGUGUGAUUCCUACACAGUCUGUAUCCCUAUUCUCCUAACCUUGUACAAAUUCACUCCAGAGUUCAAACAUGAAUGAUAAUGCGUUUGCUUUCUUACUGUUGUGUUGUUGCUAUGGCCUAUGAUAUGAUUGUUUCCCCUAGCAUAAUCAUAAUCCUACAAUAUUUCUAUCUGUUCGGUCUUUGUAUAGAAAAGAACAAGAACACCAAAAUAAUAUCUAGACCAAAGGAACUUAAUUAGCCUAUAAGAAGAACUAAAAAUGCCGACAUUCUGUAAUUUGAGAAAUAUCAUAUAUUACAGCGGUCGGGGUGCAGAUAAGUGUGGUUAGAAGUUCGAACAACGAGAUCCAGAUCAAGUGCCUGAUGCCACGCUUCUCCCUGUGAGAUUUAUCUAUUUUUCCUUUAUAGAUGAUGCAUAUAUUUGUAAUCCUCCAUAGACUUUGCCAAAUGUUAGCAUGGUUCCUUUAUGUUAGUUCUUCCUGUACUUGCUGAGGUGAAGGGAUUAUGAUUUACAAAAUGACACUUAUGCCAAGCAUUUAGGAAAGAAUCAGCUUGUAUGAAAUUAUUAGCAUGCACUACUUCUCAAGAAAAUAUUAGUUAGCAAAUGUGGUAUGAUGUGAUAGUCCUCCUGCCAAGCGCCCUCUUCAGAAAAGAGAAAAUAUUCUAUGAUGACAUGCAAUGUGAUUAGUCAUGAAUGGUACAAGGUUCCUAAAUUGACAUGAUAGCGUGUUUAAUUUUUCUUUAGUUGAUCAUGUUACUUAUUGGCGAAUGCUUAAUUUGGACAUAGGUUCCUCGUUUCCUCACUUAUGUUAUGUGAAAAUGUGAGGGAAUCACUGGGGAACCGCCAUUGGGGAUGCGGGAAUCACAUGCCGCCGCCACCUGGACGCGCUAGCCACUGCUACCACAGGGGACACGGGCGCACGUGGCAGCCGCUGCUGCCACAGGAGCCACGGGCUCAAGUGGAAGUCGUCAUUGCCUCAGUUCUUCAGUGACAGCUGAAUUAGCUGAAGGCGACAAUGAGCAUCAAUUUGUUUUCCUUAGAUGAAGCAUUCUACAUUAAAUUGUAACUUCUUCAGUACAGGUUGCAUGCAAUUUUUUAAUGGUUAGUUCCAGAUUAUCCCCUUUUUGUGUACAUUUAGUAGAUGCUUAUAUGAAUCUAUGCCGUCUUCUCUCUUACUAAAGUUUACAUUGAAUUCUGUUAAGAUUUCCUAUUCUUUUUUAAUGAUGUACUUACUCAAAGCUUCUCUCUCCUACUAGGCUAAUUUAGGGAGUUUUACUGGAUCAUAUUCGUUAUGUAUCCUUUCGUUUAGACAUUCGUCCAAUUGAAUUUUCUCAUCCACUCUGUUAAGUUAUUCUCAUUGAAUUUGCUGCUCAUGGGUUAACCUGUGCGGAGAUUGCCUUUUAUUUGUCUGUAAUGUGAUGCAUUUAUUUUAAGAAUCCGGUUAAGCUCAUGUUCAGCUCGUGUAAUGAUGUUGCAUCAUUGAUCCAUUCAAAAAUAUUUCCCCAUUCUUGAAUUGUCUGCAAAUUCAGGAAAUAAAGUUAUAUUGCAAGAACUGGAACUGAAGGAAGACCCAAACUCUGAGCACCACAUUCUCUAAGGGCCCUUCUAUUUGAAAUACACUUAUGCAGAAGUAUGCCCUUAUUGCUUUUGUAAUGUAUGUGACUUCUUAUUUGAAAUACACUUAUGCAGAAGUAUGACUUCAGUGCUAUUGUACUAUAUGUGACUGACAUCUAGAUGCACUUCUGAAGAUCAUUUGUAUGUCUUGCAUGUGGCAUAAUUGUAUGUGUGACCGACUUCAUUUUUAUACGUGCGUUGCACGUGCACGCUUACUAGUUAGAAUAAA